rnacentral:lncRNA from 1 species
AUGAUGGCGCAACAGUUUCUCCCAGUAAUCAGGAUCUACACUCUCUUCCUGCUUAAUAAUCUCUCUAUCCACAUCCUCCUCCUCCUCAUCUUUGACCACAUACUGGGCAACUUUAAAAGAGCUGAGGUAUUCAUUCAUACUCUGCAGCUCUGUGUCAUCUGUUGCGUCUUGGUUUCGAUCCAACAACCGAUCAAUCGCCUUGUCAUCAUAGUGGAUCACACUGCUGUCUUCCUCCUUGUUGUCACCUGGAGGACAGAUUUAUUUGAUUUAGAAUUGACUUUAGUGUUUAUUUUGCCCCCUUCAUUUAUUGUGUGGAUAAUUUCCAUUAAUUUCUGUAUAAACUUAUUCACCUUAUUUAUUUUCUGUAUUGUCUAGUACUAAAAGUUAUUCAUAUGCAUUGGUAUUUGGCAGUAUUUACUCUUUCUACCCUGUGCUCAAAACUUAAGUUUUAUUUAUUUAUUUUUGGUUGGCAAAGUCAGACUAGUGUGUCAGAUUUGUUUGUUUUUUUCUUUACUACAUUUUCUGUGUCCCACCAUAAAAAAUAUUAUUAUUUUAUUCUUAGCAGUAUAUUUAAGAAAACCCACUGCAGCAUCUGAAUGAAACUCAGUUUAACAACAUCAGUGCCCAAGAAGGUCAUGUGUAGUUUAAAGAUCUAAAUAAACUUCAACUGAAAGCAGAACUUCAUGCCUACACCACAGCAGCUUAUGCUUGGGGACGUUUCUGUAGUUUAUGCGAUAAUGACAAAACAUGUCACAUACAGACCCUUAACUAAAAACUGUACGUGUGUUACUUUGCCUUUAAACGUUAUUAUCAUUCUCUCAGGGCACUGCUUUAUUUUCUGAGGGCACUGCUUUAUUUUCUGAUCUCAAAGCAACAUUAUGUUCAGAAGAUGAAGUGUUCAGAGAAACCUUCUCCAAGCUCGGCUUUGAAAAGCUGUUCUGUGCCAAACUUCAAGAUGUCAUCCAAUUCUUGUUUGGACAUGGAUCCAGCCUUGGAGCCCAGACCAGGCCGCACCACCAGGUGAGUCAACAUCAUCUUUUUCUUUGCCACCUGAAACACAAGGGUCAUGAGAUGACUUUUGCUAGUGCUUGUGUUUUUUUCAGCUUUGUAUUUGCCUGGGUUUUAAACUACAGUUUCAUAUCUCACCUGUGUGAUUCUCUCCUCCACUGAUGCUUUAGUGACAAAUCGAUAGAUCAUCACCUUCUUAUUCUGACC